UACAGAGGUCUCAAGCGUUGGUCGGAUUCAUUGGGCGUAAAGGGCGCGUAGGCGGCAAGGCAAGUCGGGUGUGAAAGCUUGGGGCUUAACCCCGAAAGGGCACUCGAAACUGCGUUGCUAGAGGGCCGGAGAGGAGAUCGGAAUUCACGGUGUAGCAGUGAAAUGCGUAGAGCUCGUGAGGAAGACCGGUGGCGAAGGCGGAUCUCUGGACGGCCCCUGACGCUGAGGCGCGAAGGCUAGGGGAGCAAACGGG
rnacentral:rRNA from 1 species